CCAAACCUUACCUUAUCUAGGGUUAGGGUUUCGUUCUCUAUCAGUGUCUCCAGCCCCAGAAAACCAAAACCCCAGAUUUUAAGAUGAUGCAGCAACCAGCACCCGGAGUGGUUCCACCACCAAUGGCUCCACCACCGUCCAUGGCGGCAGCUCCACAGAGCCAGCAACAGUACCAAUACCAGCAACCGCCACCGCCUCCUCAGCCGCAGCAACCUUACAUGAUGAUGAACAUGAUGCCACCUCAGAGCCAGCCUCCACCCAUGUGGCCCCAGCAACAAGGUUCGGCUCCGGUGCCAGGUCAGCAACAGCAGGUGGGUCAAGCGGGUCAACCCGCCAGCGCCGAUGAGGUUCGGACUUUGUGGAUCGGAGAUUUGCAGUAUUAUAUGGAUGAGAAUUAUCUCUUGGGCUGUUUUGCCCAAACUGGAGAGGUAUUAAAUG
rnacentral:lncRNA from 1 species